rnacentral:rRNA from 1 species
CCUACGGGAGGCAGCAGUGGGGAAUAUUGGGCAAUGGGCGCAAGCCUGACCCAGCAACGCCGCGUGAAGGAAGAAGGCUUUCGGGUUGUAAACUUCUGUUGUCAGGGAAGAGUAGAAGACGGUACCUGACGAAUAAGCCACGGCUAACUACGUGCCAGUAGCCGCGGUAAUACGUAGGUGGCAAGCGUUGUCCGGAUUUACUGGGUGUAAAGGGCGUGUAGCCGGGUUGACAAGUCCGAGGUGAAAUCCUGCGGCUUAACCGCAGAACUGCAUUUGAAACUGUUGAUCUUGAGUACUGUAGAGGCAGAUGGAAUUCCUAGUGUAGCGGUGAAAUGCGUAGAUAUUAGGAGGAACACCAGUGGCGAAGGCGGUCUGCUGGACAGCAACUGACGGUGAGGCGCGAAAGCGUGGGGAGCAAACAGGAUUAGAUACCCCAGUAGUC